UCCGAGUUGACCCCGGCAGUCUCCCAUGAGUCCCCACCCGAAGUGCUGGCAACACAGGACAAGGGUUGCGCUCGUUGCGGGACUUAACCCAACACCUCACGGCACGAGCUGACGACAACCAUGCACCACCUGUGAACCCGCCCCAAAGGGGAAACCACAUCUCUGUGGCGGUCGGGAACAUGUCAAGCCUUGGUAAGGUUCUUCGCGUUGCAUCGAAUUAAUCCGCAUGCUCCGCCGCUUGUGCGGGCCCCCGUCAAUUCCUUUGAGUUUCGGUCUUGCGACCGUACUCCCCAGGCGGAGUGUUUCACGCGUUAGCUGGGCCCCUGAUCCACGUAGACCAAGGGCGAACACUCAUCGUUUACGGCAUGGACUAC
rnacentral:misc_RNA from 1 species